GAUGAAGAACGUAGCGAAACGCGAUAGUUAAUGUGAAUUGCAGAAUUCAGUGAAUCAUCGAGUCUUUGAACGCACAUUGCGCCCAUUGGUAUUCCGUUGGGCAUGUCUGUUUGAGCGUCAUUACAACAGUUCAGCGUAAGCUGGUUAUGAGUUCUGUUUUUUUAAACAAAAAACAGGCUUUAAAAUGUAUGUUCUGCAGGACGCUUUGCUAAACCCUAAACAUUAAAUACUGUUCUAGUGAAGCAUUUGCGACUCUGCCUGAAAAAAAACUUUUGUUAAAGUUUGACCUCAGAUCAGACAAGGAUACCCGCUGAACUUAAGCAUAUCAAUAAGCGGAGGA
rnacentral:misc_RNA from 1 species